rnacentral:lncRNA from 1 species
GAAACGGCCCGAAAUGUCCCCAAAAUACGGCAGAGAAAUGCCCCAAAACUGGGAGAGAAAUGCCCCAAAAUUGGGAGAGAAACCACCCCCAAAACCGGGGAGAAAUAACCCAAAACACCGCCCCGAAAAUGGCAGAGAAAUACCCCAAAACCACCCCCAAAACCGGAGAGAAAUGACCCAAAACACCGCCCCGAAAAUGGGAGAGAAACGGCCCGAAAUGUCCCCAAAUUAUGGCAGAGAAAUGCCCCAAAAUUGGGAGAGAAACCACCCAGAAAUGGCAGAGAAAUAACCCAAAACACCGCCCCAAAAAUGGGAGAGAAACGGCCCGAAAUGUCCCCAAAAUAUGGCAGAGAAAUGCCCCAAAAAUGGCACCAAACUACCCCAAAACUUCCCCCCAAAAAUGGCAGAAAAACACCCCAAAACCACCCCAAAAAUGGGAGAGAAAUAACCCAAAACACCGCCCCGAAAAUGGGAGAGAAACGGCCCGAAAUGUCCCCAAAAUAUGGCAGAGAAAUGCCCCAAAAUUGGGAGAGAAACCACCCCAGAAAUGGCACAGAAAUAGCCCCCAAAAUGGCAGAGAAAUAACCUAAAAUAUCCCCCACAUAUAUCACAGAGAAACACCCCAAAAUACACCAAAAAUGGGAGAGAAACGGCCCGAAAUAUCCCAAAAAAUGGCAGCGAAAUACCCCAAAAUUGGCACCAAACUACCCCAAAACUUCCCGCCAAAAAUGGCAGAAAAACACCCCAAAACCACCCCAAAAAUGGGAGAGAAAUAACCCAAAACACCCCAAAAUAUGGCAGAGAAAUAGACCAGAAAUGGCAGAGAAAAAACCCAAAAUGUGCCCCCAAAAUAUGGCAGAGAAACACCCCAAAAAUGGGAGAGAAACCACCCCAAAACACCCCAAAAUACGGCAGUGAAACACCCCAAAAAUGGGAGAGAAAUAACCCAAAACCACCCCAAAA